GGCACGCACGGCGACUGGCGUACGGGGAAGCGACCCCGGGGAAGUCGUGCGCGGCAGACCACACGAGGCGCCGCCCGCCUGGGCGUCCCGG
rnacentral:ncRNA from 2 species